UAGGGAAUCUUCCGCAAUGGGCGAAAGCUUGACGGAGCAACGCCGCGUGAGUGAUGAAGGUCUUCGGAUCGUAAAACUCUGUUAUUAGGGAAGAACAAAUGUGUAAGUAACUAUGCACGUCUUGACGGUACCUAAUCAGAAAGCCACGGCUAACUACGUGCCAGCAGCCGCGGUAAUACGUAGGUGGCAAGCGUUAUCCGGAAUUAUUGGGCGUAAAGCGCGCGUAGGCGGUUUUUUAAGUCUGAUGUGAAAGCCCACGGCUCAACCGUGGAGGGUCAUUGGAAACUGGUUGAAUUGAGUGCAGAAGAGGAGAGUGGAAUUCCAUGUGUAGCGGUGAAAUGCGUAGAUAUAUGGAGGAACACCAGUGGCGAAGGCGACUCUCUGGUCUGUAACUGACGCUGAGGCUCGAAAGCGUGGGUAGCAAACAGG
rnacentral:rRNA from 1 species